rnacentral:rRNA from 1 species
AGCGAACGCUGGCGGCAGGCCUAACACAUGCAAGUCGAGCGCCCCGCAAGGGGAGCGGCAGACGGGAGAGUAACACGUGGGAACGUACCCUUCAGUUCGGAACAACCCAGGGAAACUUGGGCUAAUACCGGAUACGUCCGUAAGGAGAAAGAUUUAUCGCUGAAGGAUCGGCCCGCGUCUGAUUAGCUAGUUGGUGAGGU